rnacentral:lncRNA from 1 species
GUAGACAUCUCUAUCAUCAACAAGUGGAAGAUCGAGAACCGGAAUGGAGGAAACGGCGUUGAAUCCGGAGAAAAUCUCACAAUAGUCUUCGAGACGAGGAGAUAACGUGGGAGCUCCGAACCAAGGAGGACCACCGAAAACGUCGUCGUAUGUAGUUGUUGUUUUGCCGGAGUUGUAGCUAAAACCUCCAUCGGCGUUGUUGCCAUUGUAAGGUUUCUUAGGUAAUGAAGAAGACCGGCUUCGAUACCGAGAAUAACUGAGAUUUUCCAUGAGAAUCCAAAAAUUACGAUUCUUGCAAAUAUUUAGUCUUUUCUUCUUCAACCUCUCUCUCUCUUUCUCAGGCUUCGGAGUCCAUCUCUCUCGUAUUGCUUCUGGAUCUCUUGUUACUAGAUCUCAGAGACUAUGAAUCAUCCAGACAAAAGCAAAAGUCGAAAAGUAGACAAAAGCAUGACCCAGAAGCAAAUAAAGGUGGUAACUUUAUAUCAUGAACGAAGCGCUUGAAUCGUUUCUGGUCUCGGAAAGCAAGAUCUGGACUUGAUGAAUUAUAGAAAGAAAGAAGCAAACUUGGGUUUGACCCAAGUAAUCUAAACAAUCGAACUACAAAGACAGCAGAAGAAGAAGAAGAAGAAGAAGAAGAAGAAGAAGAAGAAGAAGAAGAAAGGGUUUAGCUUUUCAUAGCUAUUGCGAGAAGAGAGAGAAAGAGAGGAUGGUGAUAUGCUCGAGUUUAACGGAUUGAAAUGGAUUCGAAAUGGUUUUAUAUUUUCUCGAGUUUAGAAACGUUUGUGAAUAAAAAAAAGAAAAAGAAAGAAGAAGGGGUCCUUUGUGUUGGCCACUUUGGUUUG